UCGGGCACGGUCCGGGCUUAUAUUUCUUGGAACAGAAUGUCAUAGAGGGUGAGAAUCCCGUCUGGAGCUCGGACACGACCUAUGUGAAACUCCUUCGACGAGUCGAGUUGUUUGGGAAUGCAGCUCUAAAUGGGUGGUAAAUUUCAUCUAAAGCUAAAUAUUGGCCAGAGACCGAUAGCGCACAAGUAGAGUGAUCGAAAGAUGAAAAGCACUUUGAAAAGAGAGUUAAAAAGUACGUGAAAUUGUUGAAAGGGAAGCGCUGGCGACCAGACUUGCGCGUCGGGGUUCCCCCUUGCUUCUGCUUGGGUUACUCCCCGGCGUUCAGGCCAACAUCGGUUUCGGGGGUUGGUUAAAGGCCUUGGGAAUGUACCUACCCUCCGGGGUAGACUUAUAGCCCAGGGUGUCAUGCGACCUCCCGGGACCGAGGAACGCGCUUCGGCUCGGAUGUUGGCGUAAUGGUUGUCAGCGACCCGUCUUGAAACACGGACCAAGGAGUCUAACAUCUAUGCGAGUGUUAGGGUGUCAAACCCUUACGCGGAAUGAAAGUGAACGGAGGUAGGAAGCCUUAAGGCUGCACUAUCGACCGAUCCUGAAGUUUACGGACGGAUUUGAGUAAGAGCAUAGCUGUUGGGACCCGAAAGAUGGUGAAC
rnacentral:rRNA from 1 species